rnacentral:rRNA from 1 species
UUAAAGGAAUUGACGGGGCCCGCACAAGCGGUGGAGCAUGUGGUUCAAUUCGACGCAACGCGAAGAACCUUACCCAGACUUGACAUGCACUAGACGAGUGUGGAAACACACUUUUCCUUCGGGACUGGUGCACAGGUGCUGCAUGGCUGUCGUCAGCUCGUGUCGUGAGAUGUUGGGUUAAGUCCCGCAACGAGCGCAACCCUUGUCCUUAGUUGCUACGGGUAAAGCCGAGCACUCUAAGGAGACUGCCGGUGAUAAACCGGAGGAAGGUGGGGAUGACGUCAAGUCCUCAUGGCCCUUACGUCUGGGGCUACACACGUGCUACAAUGGCCGGUACAAAGGGUUCCGAUACCGCGAGGUGGAGGCAAUCCCAAAAACCGGUCUCAGUUCGGAUUGCAGUCUGCAACUCGACUGCAUGAAGUCGGAAUCGCUAGUAAUCGCGGAUCAGCUUGCCGCGGUGAAUACGUUCCCGGGUCUU